rnacentral:rRNA from 1 species
UACGAAGGGGGCUAGCGUUGUUCGGAAUUACUGGGCGUAAAGCGAACGUAGGCGGUGUUCCAUGUCAGAGGUGAAAGCCUGGGGCUCAACUCCAGAAUUGCCUUUGAAACGGGGACGCUUGAGUCCGAGAGAGGAUAGCGGAAUUCCUAGUGUAGAGGUGAAAUUCGUAGAUAUUAGGAAGAACACCAGUGGCGAAGGCGGCUAUCUGGCUCGGUACUGACGCUCAGGUUCGAAAGCGUGGGGAGCAAACAGG